rnacentral:lncRNA from 1 species
ACGAUUUAUCUGUUGCAUAUUUUUUGUCUUUGAAAAUUUCCAAAAGAUGGUCUGGAACAUACUUUCUUGCACUUGUUUCUUUUACGGUCUGGAACAUGUUCAUGACCUACACACCCAAAAACUCGAAAAUAAUUAAUUGUUGGCUUUAGAUCACUCUGUGCUUCUUCCGAAGUUUUGUUUUGCAUAGCCACUGUAGGACAUGUGUUGAG